GAAAAAACUGUAUGUAGGCACCUUCUGUACCGAGAUCGUUACAGAAAACAUACAGAUGUUAUAACAAUGGAGUGUGUCAAGUAUUCUGUGUGCACUGUGAGUCCAUUUUACACAUUUUGGUGACAAACAGGAAAAAAAAGUCAGGUUUGUCCAAGUAUUGUGUGUUGCGCAAGAAUUGGCACCCUCACGCAGGGCAGUGAACAUAAACAGUUGGGUUCUGGGAAAUCCGUGUCAAUCUGUAUUGUCUGGGGGACUUUCUGUGUCUGGGGUGGGGAGUUGAAUCAGGUCUGCUCUCUCGCCUCCUUCACAUUCACUUCCAGAGAGCUUUGGAACAAGUGACCUGUAAGAGAAAGCUGUUCGAAUUUCACUGUGGGAAAGAGAAACUCAGGAAGAUAGAGAGAACUUUGGAACAAGUGACCUGUAAGAGAAAGCUGUUCGAAUUUCACCGUGGGAAAGAGAAACUCAGGAGGAAAGAGGUAAGACAAUUUUAUCACCAAUAUAAGCUAAUGAAUACGUCUUAUUAAUGUCCUGUCAUGACAUGAAU
rnacentral:lncRNA from 1 species